UUUAGAGGACAGGUGGUGUUAAAAGGGUAUGGUUUGUAUUGUGUGUAGUUCUUGGUUCUUACCUUGUGUUCUGGCUUAAUUUUGUAUGAGUACAAGGAUAAUGUCUCCCAAGGGGUUCAUUGCUUCUUUAAUUUAAUGUGUUGUUUUUGAAGUAUGGGUGUAUAUAUUGUACCUUAGUCUCACAUACUCUUAUGUAUUUCUUUUCGAACCUUAAUCUUUGUUUUAUCUUUGUUUUAGCAUUUUUAGGCUUCCUAAUUAAGCUUGUGUGUUUUGUUUUGUUGGGGCUGGAUUUUGCUGCUCUUUUCUAGCUCCUGGGCAGUUUAGGUGAAUCACUUGUGUCGUUAGUUGUUGGGUUUAGAUAACUAGUUAUCUUGUAAUACUUUUUAUUAAUAAGGUAAUAUCAUACUUAAGCACUCAUUUUGUUUGUUUUAAUUGAAUAUAGUUAUAUUUUAUACAUGAAACACUUCAUACUUAUUGUCUUUGGUGGAAUGCGACACUAGAGACUUGAUAUAGAACACUUGAUACUUUAGUUAGAUGUUGGUUUUCUCUAUCUUUUUUAACUUAUUUGUGAAUUGCAUAAUUUUUUGUCAUUUUUUAGGGACACUAAGGAGUAUGUUGCCUUCAUCUACACAAGUGUGAUAUCCAAAUUAAGCCUUUUCUUUUGAACUCCAUACCAAGAACUUUUCUUCACUCUUCACUUCAAUGGCGCCUACAAAACCCACCGCAUAUGAACGCAAACGACUCGAAAACAUUCGCCUUUGAACUCCAUACCAAGUACUUUUCUUCACUUUUUCUAUCUUUUUUACUUCAUCUCUCAGUCACUUUUUGUACUAAUUCCGGUUCAUUUGACAAUGCAUUUGGUUUUUUGAGAAAGAUGAAGAAAUUGAUCAAGAGAUUAGUAGGCGCCAUUGAAGCUGAGGAAGAUGAAGAAAUUGAUCAAAAAGGUCUUGUAGAAAUUGAUCAAGUGAGGCGAAAUUAUGCAACAGAUUCUAAAUACAAGCCAAAAUGCAUCUUUGCAUUAAUAUGGAAUCAAUUAAUACAUCAUUGGGCCUUAGAUAGAAAGUUUAAGAAUAUAUCAGUUCGCAAAUUGUGCUUCAAAUCAAGGCAGCUCUAUACAUACAGGUGGCUCUAUAUCUAUGGGUGAGCAUACACGUAGGAUGAGUCUUGGGUUGAUAGUAGAGCUUAGGAGGCUUAUGUAAGUAGUGUUUAUAUGACUUUAGUUAGUGUAUGAUAUCUUAGAAGAGUCACUUAAAUUUGUCACUCAUGUUGGUUAUAUGACUUUAAGUGACUCAUGUAUUGACAUAUUUUGUGCUUGAACAUUGAGUAAUUAUAUGAAUAUGGUUUGUAUGCUUUUGUAUUAGAGAAGAUGAGCAUUUGAUUACUCUUGAGUUCUUGGUUAUUUUAUAUAAAUCUAGUUUGUGUGGGUUCUUUUAUGUCCAUGAUGGAUUUCUUCUUGUUUCAUAAUCGUUUGACUUUGUUAUGUAAAUUGCUCAUUGUUUAUUACAA
rnacentral:lncRNA from 1 species